GUCACUGACACAUUUCUGAUACAGGGAAAAAAAAUAGCAUGAUUGCUUUAGUAGUUAUAAUUUUUCUGUCCAUGCACCACAUUCCUGGAAGUCCAGAAUAUAGCAAGAAUCCUUGGUCUAUGGUCCUAGAGAGCCAUUUAAUGUUUUGAUUGGUAUAGUUAUACAAAAAGAGCAAGGAGUACAUUGGUAGAUCACAUCUGCAACUGAACCAUUACAUAUUCUUUGUUGUAUCAAUGUCUCUGUGUUUAUGUUUACAGGAGUUCCUUGCUUUGCAGGUAUGUACAUAAUUUGUAGAGUUUAAGAAAGGCUGCAAAUCGUGCUUUAGUACAAG